CACCGCCUGGGGAGUACGACCGCAAGGUUAAAACUCAAAUGAAUUGACGGGGACCCGCACAAGUAGUGGAGCAUGUGGUUUAAUUCGAAGAUACGCGCAGAACCUUACCAACACUUGACAUGUUCGUCGCGACUUUGAGAGAUCAAAGUUUUCGGUUCGGCCGGACGAAACACAGGUGCUGCAUGGCUGUCGUCAGCUCGUGUCGUGAGAUGUUGGUUAAGUCCCGCAACGAGCGCAACCCCCACUUUUAGUUGCCAUCAUUAAGUUGGGCACUCUGAAAGAACUGCCAGUGAUAAGCUGGAGGAAGGUGGGGAUGACGUCAAGUCCUCAUGGCCCUUACGUGUUGGGCUACACACGUGCUACAAUGGUAUCUACAACAGGAAGCAAGACGGCGACGUUAAGCAAAUCCUUAAAAGAUACCUCAGUUCGGAUUGCACUCUGCAACUCGAGUGCAUGAAGCGGGAAUUACUAGUAAUCGUGGAUCAGCGUGCCACGGUGAAUGCGUUCCCGGGUCUUGUACACACCGCCCGUCACACCAUGGGAGUUGGUUCUACCUUAAGGCAAGGUUUUAAACCCUUGACCACGGUAUAGUCAGCGACUGGGGUGAAGUCGUAACAAGGUAGCCGUAGGGGAACCUGCGGCUGGAUUACCUCCUUUCUAAGGAAGAAUAAAAUUAAAAUUUUAUUCUAAAAAAUAUACACAGGUAAUGUUGACCGUCCUCAUUUCUCUUCUUAAAAAAGUGUUUCUCUUGCAUGGGGGCCGGUAGCUCAGUUGGUUAGAGCACACCCUUGAUAAGGGUGGGGUCGAAAGUUCGAGUCUUUCUCGGCCCACCAAUUUAAGAUUAAGGGGGAUUAGCUCAGCUGGGAGAGCGCCUGAUUUGCAUUCAGGAGGUCAGCGGUUCGAUCCCGCUAUCCUCCACCAAAACACUUAGUUAUAUGAAAUCGUAAAUAAAUUAAUAAUUAAUAUCAAUAUCUAUAUCCGAACAUUAGUACUGUUAUUAGCUAAUGUUCAAAUAAAAAUUUGAUUCAACACAGAAUUUUUUUCUG
rnacentral:sRNA from 1 species